rnacentral:rRNA from 1 species
CCUACGGGUGGCAGCAGUGAGGAAUAUUGGUCAAUGGGUGGAAGCCUGAACCAGCCAAGUAGCGUGCGGGAUGAAGGCCCUACGGGUCGUAAACCGCUUUUGCACGGGGAUAACACCCUCCACUUGUGGAGGUCUGCAGGUACCGUGCGAAUAAGGGCCGGCUAAUUCCGUGCCAGCAGCCGCGGUAAUACGGAAGGCCCGAGCGUUAUCCGGAUUCAUUGGGCUUAAAGGGAGCGUAGGCGGGCGUUCAAGUCAGAUGUGAAAACCAUGGGCUCAACCUGUGGCCUGCAUUUGAAACUGUUUUUCUUGAGUACUGGAGAGGCAGACGGAAUUCCUAGUGUAGCGGUGAAAUGCGUAGAUAUUAGGAGGAACACCAGUGGCGAAGGCGGUCUGCUGGACAGCAACUGACGCUGAGGCGCGAAAGCGUGGGGAGCAAACAGGAUUAGAUACCCCAGUAGUC